GGCUUCGUAGUCUAGAGGUACGAUACUUGCUUUGGGUUCAUCUCAAGUGCAAGUGGCCCGGGUUCGAUUCCCGGCGAAGCCC
rnacentral:tRNA from 1 species